CCUACGGGGGGCAGCAGUAGGGAAUCUUCCACAAUGGACGAAAGUCUGAUGGAGCAACGCCGCGUGAGUGAAGAAGGUCUUCGGAUCGUAAAACUCUGUUGUUAGAGAAGAACGUGCAUGAUAGUAACUGAUCAUGUAAUGACGGUAUCUAACCAGAAAGCCACGGCUAACUACGUGCCAGCAGCCGCGGUAAUACGUAGGUGGCAAGCGUUGUCCGGAUUUAUUGGGCGUAAAGGGAACGCAGGCGGUUUUUUAAGUCU
rnacentral:rRNA from 1 species